rnacentral:misc_RNA from 1 species
CAACCCUCAAGCUCUGCUUGGUGUUGGGGCCCUACAGUCACCUGUAGGCCCUGAAAACUAGUGGCGGGCUCGCUAUAACUCCGAGCGUAGUAGAAACACCUCGCUUUGGACGUGAUGGCGGGAUCCGGCCGUUAAACCCCCCAAUUUUCUGAA